rnacentral:lncRNA from 1 species
CUUCAGUUAAUUAGUUUGAAUUAUAAAAUGGCUGCUGUCAGCUAGUGUGCUAUAUUACUCUAUAAUUACCCUGCUGACUAUAAGUUCAGUGUAUCAUGUCGUGUGGGCUUUGUAUUUCUGUUAGUCUGAUAACACUGUACAGACAACUAACAUAUUAUUUCUCAUCUUACACUUUCAGGAACUUGACUGACACCUGUGCUUUGCCUGUGUGCAGAAGAAGAACAAGGACCAGAUCUCCAGUCUUCUCUCUCACAUCCCAACCCCCCAUCCCGUCUAUCCUCUGUCCUACUCCACCUGUUGUCUCUGCCUUCUUUCCAUCUGUAUUUCACCCUGUGGUUUGUGAGAAAUUUUGCCAAACCAAGAAUCUUAUUGCGGUUUGAUUUCAAAGCCGUGUCUCUCCUGCUCUGUCUGUUCUCUCUGCUAAAUUUUCUCUCUACCUGUUUUUCACUCUUUGGCUUGCUGCUGAAAAAUGCACAAGCCAAUAAAGCAAUAAAGAGUGCAUAUUUUGCCUCAACCUUUGAACAAACUGAACAAACAAAGAAAACUCUAAUUCACGGUUAAUUGGGAUUUCCCAGCCGUGUCUUUCCUGCUCUGUCUGUUCUCUCUUCUAAAUUUUCUCUCUACCUGUUUUUCACUCUUGGCUUGCUGCUGAAAAAUGCCAAGCCAUUAAAGCAAUAAAGAGUGCAUAUUGCCUCUACCUGAGAACAAACUGAACAAACAAAGAAAACUCUAAUUCACGGUUUGAUUGUGAUUUCCCAGCCGUGUCUCUCCUGCUCUGCCUGUUCUCUCUUCUAGAUUUUCUCUCUACCUGUUUUUCAUUCUGGGCUUGCUGCUAAGUUGUGCCAAGCCAAUAAAGAGAGUGCAUAAUCUCUCGACUGAAGAACAAACUGUUAAACAAAGACAACUGUUUCUGAGAAAUAAAAACUGAAAUAUAAAGACAAAGCCAACAAUUCUUGGUGUGUGCCAAUCUUAUUUUAUAAACAUAUUUUAACAUAUUUUAUGUUGUGUCUACUAUGCCUGGUGUAUUAUUGGUUAGUUAUGUCACCUGCCUGUUAGUAUAUUUUAUGUGUAUUUUGUAUUUUAUGCUUUAUAUUUGUAUUUAUUAUUGCUCUUAACUCAUUCUGUGAAGCACUUUGGCAUGCCUGUGGUUUUUAAAUGUGCUAUAUAAAUAAAAUUGUAUUGUAUUGUAUUGUAUUUUCUAAAGAC